GAUGAACGCUGGCGGCGUGCCUAAUACAUGCAAGUCGAGCGAACGGACGAGAAGCUUGCUUCUCUGAUGUUAGCGGCGGACGGGUGAGUAACACGUGGAUAACCUACCUAUAAGACUGGGAUAACUUCGGGAAACCGGAGCUAAUACCGGAUAAUAUUUUGAACCGCAUGGUUCAAAAGUGAAAGACGGUCUUGCUGUCACUUAUAGAUGGAUCCGCGCUGCAUUAGCUAGUUGGUAAGGUAACGGCUUACCAAGGCAACGAUGCAUAGCCGACCUGAGAGGGGGAUCGGCCACACUGGAACGGAGAGACGCUCCAGACUCCUACGGAAGGCAGCAGUAGGAAUUCUGCCGCAAUGGGCGAAAGCUUGACGGAGCAACGCCGCGUGAGUGAUGAAGGUCUUCGGAUCGUAAAACUCUGUUAUUAGGGAAAAACAUAUGUGUAAGUAACUGUGCACAUCUGGAGGGAACCUAAGCAGAAGGCCACGGCUAACUCCGU
rnacentral:rRNA from 1 species